rnacentral:rRNA from 1 species
UGAGGAAUAUUGGGCAAUGCCCGCAAGGGUGACCCAGCAACGCCGCGUGGAGGAUGAAUGUCGUAAGAUUGUAAACUCCUGUUAGAGGGGAAGAAUAGUACCGGUUGGACCGGUAUAUGACUGUACCCUCAGAGAAAGCCCCGGCUAACUACGUGCCAGCAGCCGCGGUAAUACGUAGGGGGCAAGCGUUGUCCGGAUUUACUGGGUGUAAAGGGCGCGCAGGCGGGAUAAAAAGUCAGUGGUGAAAUCCUACAGCUUAACUGUAGAACUGCCUUGGAUACUUUAAUUCUUGAGUUCGGGAGAGAGAGACGGAAUUCCAGGUGUAGUGGUGAAAUACGUAGAUAUCUGGAAGAACACCAGUUGCGAAGGCGGUCUCUUGGUCCGACACUGACGCUGAGGCGCGAAAGCGUGGGGAGCAAACA